rnacentral:rRNA from 1 species
UGCCAGCAGCCGCGGUAAUACAGAGGGUGCAAGCGUUAAUCGGAUUUACUGGGCGUAAAGCGCGCGUAGGUGGCCAAUUAAGUCAAAUGUGAAAUCCCCGAGCUUAACUUGGGAAUUGCAUUCGAUACUGGUUGGCUAGAGUAUGGGAGAGGAUGGUAGAAUUCCAGGUGUAGCGGUGAAAUGCGUAGAGAUCUGGAGGAAUACCGAUGGCGAAGGCAGCCAUCUGGCCUAAUACUGACACUGAGGUGCGAAAGCAUGGGGAGCAAACAGGAUUAGAUACCCUGGUAGUCCAUGCCGUAAACGAUGUCUACUAGCCGUUGGGGCCUUUGAGGCUUUAGUGGCGCAGCUAACGCGAUAAGUAGACCGCCUGGGGAGUACGGUCGCAAGACUAAAACUCAAAUGAAUUGACGGGGGCCCGCACAAGCGGUGGAGCAUGUGGUUUAAUUCGAUGCAACGCGAAGAACCUUACCUGGUCUUGACAUAGUAAGAACUUUCCAGAGAUGGAUUGGUGCCUUCGGGAACUUACAUACAGGUGCUGCAUGGCUGUCGUCAGCUCGUGUCGUGAGAUGUUGGGUUAAGUCCCGCAACGAGCGCAACCCUUU